AUUGAACGCUGGCGGCAUGCCUUACACAUGCAAGUCGAACGGCAGCACGGGAGCAAUCCUGGUGGCGAGUGGCGAACGGGUGAGUAAUACAUCGGAACGUGUCCUGUAGUGGGGGAUAGCCCGGCGAAAGCCGGAUUAAUACCGCAUACGCUCUGCGGAGGAAAGCGGGGGAUCCUUCGGGACCUCGCGCUACAGGGGCGGCCGAUGGCAGAUUAGCUAGUUGGUGGGGUAAAGGCCUACCAAGGCGACGAUCUGUAGCUGGUCUGAGAGGACGACCAGCCACACUGGGACUGAGACACGGCCCAGACUCCUACGGGAGGCAGCAGUGGGGAAUUUUGGACAAUGGGCGCAAGCCUGAUCCAGCAAUGCCGCGUGUGUGAAGAAGGCCUUCGGGUUGUAAAGCACUUUUGUCCGGAAAGAAAACCGUCUGGCUAAUAUCCGGGCGGGAUGACGGUACCGGAAGAAUAAGCACCGGCUAACUACGUGC
rnacentral:rRNA from 1 species